CCGGGGCAACGGCUGUAACGGCCGCGCCGGGCUCGCAACCGUUGUAGAUUCCGCGCGGGGCGGGGAACGCUUUGGGCCAGAAGGCGCUGAGCUGAGUCGCGCGUGAUGACACGAGCGAUGGGUCGGGGUUUGGGUUGAGGCCGCCCCUCGAGGGGCAACCUGGGCGCGCGCGUCAGGCGCAGAGCUCUUUGGCUAGCCGGUCCGGCUGGGCUCAGCCGUCCGCCGAGGGGGGCGGAGCAGCGCCGGGUUCGUGCCCGGUGGGGGCGGGGCGCCGGCGCUGUCACUUCAGCACCAGGAAGUAGGUGGUCCAACCGGCCAGCAGCAGCGCCCCGAUGAGUACCGUGUAGCUGAGGAGAACGAAGGCGAGCAGCUCCCGCAGCACCUGCAGCACGUGGAUGGUGGACGACGCCGGCAUUGCCCUGCGGGAGCCGUAGAAAGACCCUGAGCUCGCAGAGGACAGCUCCCGAGCCAGCCCCGUCCUGGGCAGGGGUUGUGGCGGAAAACAGGUCCUGGCCCUCAAACUGAGACCCCAACAGUGCCAAUUCUUCCAAAACACCCUCCGCUUUGCAUUUGCAGUGGAGAGCUGCUUCUAAAGCAAAAGUCGCUCUCAUUCUUCCGCUCAGAUCUGGGCUCCGAGGAGGCAAAAGCCUGGUCCUUUCCAGCCCCAGCCCUCUCCUACUCCUGAAUUUUUAAUGCCGCGGGUGCCACUAAUGGGCUUGUGGAGUAAAGCUUGCUUUUCCCAUCACUCAAGCUCAGCCCUGGGAAGGAAGGGAAGGCACAGGCCUUCACUGUAGCCCCUCUGCCAUUUCCCUGGCCCCAAGGCUUCUCAAUAGCAGACUUUGAGGAUUUUUGCUUUGUAAAGUCCAGCAUGCUUGUCUUCUGGCCAGCCAGGAUUGCUGGGGUGCCAAACUGAUUGCUGGAGCAUCAGUUUGACUGGGCUUGUCUCCCUUCCACCGUGUCUUGUGCAUCUGUCCCAGCCCUCCUAACUUCACCUCAGACAGAAUCCAGUGGGGUAAGAAUCAAAGCAGCUUUUUACCUUCUUUGCUGCCUGCCCAGCAGCUCCCCUCAGUGCCAGCCAUUAGCUUCCCUCUUUCCCUAUUUCACUCACUUGGCAAAGUUUCCACGACUCUUCCACUGUCGCAGCUUGUGGCUCCUCUCUGUUCUGGUGCUAAAGGUUGGCUUCUGCACACUCCAGCGAUCUGAGCAGAGCUGUGAGGUCUUCAGGCAGCAACCGCUCUCAACAACUAGGUGUGGUCUAGCGACCAAUUACAACCUCGGUGUGGUCCCUGAGCUCUCAGGAAACUGCGCAGGCAAUCCCCAGGCCAGGCGGGGCACUGGCAACUCUGUCUGCCCUCUCCUGUAUCACCUCCAUGGCCCACAGGGCUCCGCAGGAGUUUGCAAAAUUCCUGGCUCAAAUGGGCUCAAUAAGCAAUACACUAGGGGGUAUUUCAAGCCUCUUCUUGUCUUGCUAGUCUAAACACUUUAGGUGGACUAUGGUGCCAAUAGUUCUAAUAAACAAGUCCCAUCUACUCAAUCUGGAAAGCCAUUGCCUUAAAAUACGGGAGAGCAUGCGGUGCGUGUGAAAGUACUAGAUUCUAAUUUACAAAGAGUUUAGCAGUUUACAGACUCCUUACACAGGCAUCUUCCCAGGCAUCUGUUUCCAAUGUCAAGCCUCCAAAUGUGAGGCUAAAGGAGCCAGGUGGGAAAGCAAAGAGCAUUUUCCCAGAGGUAACAAGGAAAAGUAUAAACUUUAUGCUGCUUCUGAUUAUUUUGCUUAUACUAGAUUUUAGUUAAAGACUUUUUUGACCUUUGAAAAAGCAGGUACUGUGGAUAUCAACCAUUUUAUAAACAUCAUCAUUCAGGAGCAAAUGGUUCCUUAAUUUAAUCAGGAUCUCUUAUUAUCAAAUCAUUGCCUUGGCCACAGCCUAACUAAAAACAUGAGCAGAACAUUAUCAAGCUGCUCAGGAAGUAGUAAUUGCUCCCCCAGAGAAUUGGUCAUCUGAAGGGCUUCAAUGUCUUACCUUGUCAGAGGAAAGAAAGGAUGGCUGAGAUUUAUAACCUUGCCCCAUAACAAAUAAGAUAAAAAAAGUCGGGCUGUUCAAAGUAGGACCUAUUCUGUGCGCUUUUAAGCUCUUAUAUCCUUCAAAUGGCUAUGUCAAGACAGUUACAUGAUCUAAACUUUGCAGCUUCUACUCACCCCCCAAUUUGGGG
rnacentral:lncRNA from 1 species